UGAUGGAGCCAUGAGCAGCAGCAAAUCUCUGAGAUUGAGAGAGCAGACACUGGAAUAUAGCAAUUUGAGGAAGAGAUGAAGGAGAGAGGUGGAUCCUGGGGCCUCAGAAAAGUUCUGAAGGGAGAACUGGAGCCCAUGGGGAGAGCAAGAUUUCAGUGUGAGAGAGGAGUCUUGAGCCUACAGAAGUGCUGUGAUGGCCAGAGACCCCGGAAGCUUCCACAGAGAAAUGCACCAGUGGAGUGGAGCAGUGGAUACAUUGGCUGGAGCUAUCCCUCCAUACCUGGCUACUGGAAGCCCUCCAUCCCUUACCCACUUACCUACCGAGGUCAUGAAGUUUCCACCUAAGAACUAUCAAGAGUUCCUAGAAAU